AGUCCUAUAACGAGCGCAACCCCUACCGUUAGUUGCCAGCAUGUCAAGAUGGGGACUCUAACGGGACUGCCGGUGCAAACCGUGAGGAAGGUGGGGACGACGUCAAAUCAUCACGGCCCUUACGUCCUGGGCUACACACGUGCUACAAUGGCCGGUACAGAGGGAAGCCACCCCGCAAGGGGGCGCGGAUCUACAAAACCGGUCACAGUUCGGAUCGGGGUCUGCAACUCGACCCCGUGAAGCUGGAAUCGCUAGUAAUCGGAUAUCAGCCAUGAUCCGGUGAAUACGUUCCCGGGCCUU
rnacentral:rRNA from 1 species